AGUGAAGCCGACAGAGCCUCGAGUGCUUGAUCACUCAUUGUAUCCUGUUAAAAGUAAAAAAUCCUGUGCAUGAAAAAAGACAUCUCUGGAGCCCGAACAAUCCAUUUACUUCUUUGUAAAAUACAUUUUAGAUUAUAAACUGAAUAUGGAUUGGGGAAGUGCUCUAGAAAGGCAAUUUUAUUUGAAACCUUGCAAAAGAGAGAAAGGAAAAAGAACUUACCAAUGAGUGGAAAUUGGGGCUAAGACACGUUUCUACAGUAACAGCGUUCUCUGGGGCACACUUCACCCCUUAUUUGUUUUCUUUCCAGCAGCUGUAGGCGACCCACAGGUGAAGUCAGAUGACAAGGCGUCUAUAGCAUCAUCUGGCCCUAUGGGUUUCUAAAGAAACAGGCACAGUGAUGGGUAACUUACGGGAAGCACUCAAGUGGAAGAAUGGAUCAUAAACCUAGCAAAUGAAGAAUGCACUUUUCCAAUUCCCUUGCUACCAAAUGAGGUGUGUUAAUGAAACAACUUAGAUCAAAGUGUAUGUUUUGAAGAGAGUGGCUACUCAUUGAGUAUUAUUUUC
ensembl:lncRNA novel transcript